UUGGACCAUAUGACAUCAUAAAGGAGGACAAGCCUGCAGAAGGGCUCAAAAGAGAUGAAUACAAUCUGAACACAGCUGAGGAAGAGGCAACUGGAGCUUGGUUUCUCAACCUUGGCACUGUUGACAUCUGGGGCUAGAUAACUCAUUGUUGUGGGGGCUUUCCUGUGCAUUGUAGAGUGAUUAGCAGUAACAUCCCUAGCCUCUACCCACUUGAUGCCAGUAAUGGCCUAUCUCCCAGUUAUAAUGGCAAAAAUAUUUCUAGACAUUGGCCCAUGUCCCCUGGGCUGCAAAAUCACCCUCAGUUGAGAACCAUUGGAAUAGAGAAUUCAGAAUUCCUGGGGAAAACGUUGCACUGUUAAGGCCUCUGAUGGCAAUGACACCACCUGUGAGCUGCUCAGAAGCAUUUAUCAAAUGCUGUCAGGAGGUUGACGUUUAAAGUUAACUCAGUGGAUCCCAAUCUUCCUUUCCUAAGAUCUAGUCUCUUCCCUGAACUCUAGUGUUUUUCAAGAUACUCAGGAGAUUAUGAAAUCAAUUUAGUGGGUACUAACCAGCAUUUUCUUUAAAAAAUGAAAUAAUGGCCCAGCUGGUAUGGCUCAGUGGUUGAGUGUCUACCUAUGAACCAGGAGGUCACAGUUUGAUUCCUGAUCAGGGUACGUGCCAGAUUGUAGGCUUGAUCCCCAGUAGGGGGCAUGCAGGAGGCAGCUGAUCAGUUAUUCUUUCUCAUCAUUGAUGUUUCUAUCCCUCUCUACCUCUCCCUUCCUCUCUCUCUGAAAUCAGUAAAAAAAAAAAAAAAAAAUCGUAAAAAAAUGAAAUAAUGGAAUAGAAUAAAAUAGUACAGAAAAUAUUAGAGUAUACUUUGUAGAGUAAAUAUAGACUUGGAAAAAUUUUGAUUAUUUGUUUGGGUGUAUACAAUUGUGGAUGCUUGUUCAUCUUAGAUAUUGAUAUAAAGUUUAUUACUUACCAGAGUUGGCAAUUAAAAGAGUUUGAGAAUUCCUACUGUAUUUUAACAUAUCCUCUGGAUAUACACUUUUCUUCUAAUGUGCAAUGUAUUGGUUUCUCAUUGCUGCUAUAGCAAAUUACCACAAAUUUAGUGGCUUUAAACUUAAAACCUGCAAGUUUAUUCUCUUACAGUUCUGGAGGUGAAAAAUCCAAAAUCAGUUUUACUGCACAAAAGUCAAAGUGUUGAUAGGACAAGGACCUCAGUCCUAUAGCUGCAAGGAACUGAAUUCUGCCAACAACCAGUAAGCUUAGAAGAGGAUUGUGAAUCACAGAUGAGAUAGCUGCCCAGGCUGACAUGUUGACUGCAGCCUUGUGAGACCCUGAACAGAGUACUCAGCCAAGCUGUGCCUGGACUCCAGACCCAUGGAAACUCUCUCUUCUUGCCUCCCAGUAUUUUUCCUGUGACUCCCAUUGGUGGAAAGUAUCCUGAAACCAGAGGCAAAGAAGUCUGGAAACUGUCUCCUGAGAUACAGAAGAGGGCAGAAGUUCCAGGAGCGGGGGAGAUUACAUCUCCCAGGAGAAUCACCUGGGUUUAACCUGUCUCUGACCUCAGGUGGGAG